AUUGAACGCUGGCGGCAGGCCUAACACAUGCAAGUCGAGCGGAUGAAGGGAGCUUGCUCCUGGAUUCAGCGGAGGACGGGUGAGUAAUGCCUAGGAAUCUGCCUGGUAGUGGGGGAUAACGUCAGGAAACGGGCGCUAAUACCGCAUACGUCCUGAGGGUGAAAGUGGGGGAUCUUCGGACCUCACGCUAUCAGAUGAGCCUAGGUCGGAUUAGCUAGUUGGUGGGGUAAAGGCCUACCAAGGCGACGAUCCGUAACUGGUCUGAGAGGAUGAUCAGUCACCCUGGAACUGAGACACGGUCCAGACUCCUACGGGAGGCAGCAGUGGGGAAUAUUGGACAAUGGGCGAAAGCCUGAUCCAGCCAUGCCGCGUGUGUGAAGAAGGUCUUCGGAUUGUAAAGCACUUUAAGUUGGGAGGAAGGGCAGUAAGUUAAUACCUUGCUGUUUUGACGUUACCAACAGAAUAAGCACCGGCUAACUACGUG
rnacentral:rRNA from 1 species